rnacentral:rRNA from 1 species
AUACGAAGGUGGCAAGCGUUAUUCGGAAUCACUGGGCAUAAAGGGCCUGUAGGCGGUAUAUUAAGUUAAUUGGGAAACCCCUCGGCUUAACCGAGGAAUUGCUGUUAAUACUGGUAUGCUUGAGUGUUGGAGGGGUAAGUGGAAUUCUUGGUGGAGCGGUGGAAUGCGUAGAUAUCAAGAGGAACGCCGGAGGCGAAAGCGACUUACUGGACAACUACUGACGCUGAGGGGCGAAAGCUAGGGGAGCAAACGGGAUUAGAUACCCUAGUAGUCC